rnacentral:rRNA from 1 species
GACAGGGGGGGGCGGGCGUUAUUCAUCAUGAUUCGGCGUAAAGGGUGCGUAGAUUUUUUAACUGCAUUAAUUGUAAAAAACUAGAAUAAAGUUAGUAAGGCAGUUAAUAUGGGUUAAAUGGAGUUUGUUAGGGGUAAAAGGAAUUUUUAGUGGAAAGAUGAAAUUUUCAGAUACUAAAAGGAACACCAACGGCGUAAGCAUUUUACCGGGUCAAACUGACAUUGAGGCACGAAGGUGUGGGUAGCAAACAGG